AUGGUUCUUAAGCUUGACUUCAGGAAAGCCUUUGAGUCUAUUUCCUGGCCUUCACUUCUGAAAAUCCUUAGGCACCGUGGCUUCCCUGAGCGCUUCUGUUCCUGGAUUGACGAUCUGCUCUCCACGGGCAGGACUGCAGUGCUUCCUAACGGGGUUCCUGGCAACUGGAUUCAAUGCAGGAAUGGUCUCCGUCAGGGCGACCCCAUUUCCCCUUACCUAUUCAUCAUUGUUACAGAUAUCUUGCAACAACUGAUCCUGUCGGCUGCCUCUGACCACACCAAUGAUCUGCACCACCCUGUCUACGAAGACUUGCCACCCACUAUCCUUCAGUACGCUGAUGACACGCUGAUCAUCGCCCAUGCAUCCAUCAUCGCUGCCCGCAAACUUAAGCAUAUCUUAGAUGACUUUGGCCUUGCUACGGGGCUGUGCAUCAACUUCUCUAAAACCACCUUCGUCCCCUUGCAUGUGGACACGCCGUGUGCCUUAGCGAUCUCUCAUGUCUUUGGCUGCGCCAUCUCCAGCUUCCCCCAAACGUAUCUUGGGCUGCCUUUCCCCCCCUACAAGCUCCCUCCAUCCGCUUGCCAACCACUUGUUACUUCCUACAGAUCAUUGCUCCCAGGCUGGUGUGCCAAGCUGCUCAACCGCGCUGCGAGGCUAGUACUCAUCUCCUCCGUUCUGGAUUCUCUUGCGACAUAUUUCCUGUCCGUCUUCAAGUUGCCAAUGAAGACCUUAAAAAUUCUAGAUGCGAUUAGACGGGCCUUCUUCUGGGCUGCCGAGGAUACGUGCACCGGAUCAAAAUGUUUGAUUGCUUGGGAAAAUGUUUGUAAACCGAAAUUUUUUGGUGGUCUAGGUAUUAAGAAUCUAGCGGCUCAGAAUAAUUGUCUACUUAUGAAGUUUGCCUACAAAUACCUAACCCAUGAUGCCUCUAACCCUCUGCCAUGGAUCUCCUGGGUAGAUAAACAACACCUCUGUAGCCUGCCACAUAUUGCAGCCUGCCCAAACCCCUCCUUCCUCACCAAAAUCAUCCAAACACAACUACAGCCACUGCUACAAAUGACAUUUGUACUUACAAAUAAUGGCCAGAAGACCUUCUUCUGGCUUGAUACUUGGCUCCUCCAAACCCCCAUAGCUGCCACCUUCCCGAGCCUCUACUCCCACUCCACCAAUGAGUACAUCCCUGUGGUGCACAUCAUGCGUUAUGGGCUACAAGCAAACCUAACGAACAUGCUCACCUCGGCCGCCUCGCGCGAGCUAGACGCUCUCUGUUUACUGUUGCAGGAUUUCCAACCGACGGAUGGCCCCGAUGAGCGGUUUCUCUUACAUGGUCAGCAGUUCUCGCCUAAGGCGGCCUACAAGAUCAUGUUGCAUGAAGAAGUGGAGGAUAAUCACGCUGACCUAAUAUGGAGGUCUCGGGCUCCUCAUAAAAUCAAGCUCUUUGCCUGGCUGUUGUUUCGUGGCCGGCUCAACACCAAGGCUAAUCUAGCGCAUAAGCACAUGUCUGAUUCAGCAGCCUGA
rnacentral:rRNA from 1 species